CACAAAAACAAUACAUUACACUCGGAAUAUCCAACGAACAUAGUUUUGGUCAGGUCAAUUAAGACCGUGACUCACUUGCGCGGUCACCUCGCUAUGCAGUAGUUGUGUGCGACAGUGAAUAUUUUCCUAUUUAUUUUAUCAUUUUAAAAUGCUCAAAAGACCAAGAUUUCAAUUUCCUACAAAUAGGUUUUAGGCUAGGGCAAUAAAAAUAUUUUGCUGCCACAAAGUAAAACAACAUCAAAAAUCGUUAACAGAGAAGCAACUAGUGCCGCAACUAGACAUCGUGAAGUAGAACGCACAAGUAAGAUGGAUUUCACUACAAUUAUAACAGGUGUAGUUAUAAAUUACUACAGUAAUACUCGACGGCCUAAAAAAAUAUACUACCGACUGAGAUUCCGAGUUUGACGUAUCAAGGCUUUCCUCACUGAUGUGUCGCGUUCUUACCGCGACUAUCUCUUCUGCGGCGUCAAAUUUGAAAUUCUGCUGAGUGCGACUUUUUUGAUUGACACAUACUAGGUGUCCGGUGUAGCCGAUCGUAGUUAUCUUCGUUGUCAGAAAAAGAAGAAUCAUCGGCUGAAUCGACUGUCACGGACGAUCUAUCGGGAAUCACCAAUUUCGAUUCCAUUAUGGCCAAGUGUAUUUGUUAAAAUUUUAUAGAACUGCAGACAAAUAUUUUUAAAUGAAAUAUGUAUAUUGAUUAAUAUCUUAGUCAUCUUGUUACAGUGGCGUAUUUAUGGGGUAGAUGUAAGGAGUUUCCACUCCCCCCCCCAAAAAAAAAAAACAA